rnacentral:rRNA from 1 species
UACGUAGGGGGCAAGCGUUGUCCGGAUUUAUUGGGCGUAAAGAGCGUGUAGGCGGCCAGGUAGGUCCGUUGUGAAAACUGGAGGCUUAACCUCCAGCUGUCGAUGGAAACCAUCUGGCUAGAGUCCGGAAGAGGAGAGUGGAAUUCCUGGUGUAGCAGUGAAAUGCGCAGAUAUCAGGAAGAACACCCGUGGCGAAGGCGGCUCUCUGGGACGGUACUGACGCUGAGACGCGAAAGCGUGGGGAGCGAACAGG